UUUUAUAUACAAUUUGUAAAUGAAAGAAGGCUGGAUCUCAUCUGAUCUCAGAAGGCAGGCAGGGUUGGAUCUGGUUAGUACUUGGAGGGGAGACUGCCUGGGAAUACUGGAUGUAUAGGCU
rfam:Otolemur garnettii contig057179, whole genome shotgun sequence.